UUCUAGGCAUUAAAGAUACCAACACAUGGCUGGAGCAUGAGUGAGCCCUUUUCUUUUACAGUCUGUUUAUUCUUACUUUACAUACAAUCCUGGUAACAUGCUUGGGUAUUGUAUUUCAGGCUUUCAGCAGAAUAAAAGUAAUACAUGUUAUGAAAAGAAACAAGGAGGCUUAAGAUUCAAAAGUACUGAUAGCCUGAAUGUAUAGCCAGAGCCUGACCACAAAGAAGCAGACAAAACAACUCUAAAAACAGAUAGAGGGACUAAAAGAAAUGAUGCCAUUUAAUGUUGGGCAAAUUCCACAUAUCUCAAAUAGUCCUGAGUCUUUUAGCUCAAAAUAAUAGUUGGACCUUACAAUGAUUGCCUUGCAUCACCAUGAUGCAUUUUGUUUUGAAUAAUUUGUUAUAAGAAUAUCAGAAAGGCUGGCAUAUAUUUCAGAAGGAGUUUUAGCAAAAUUGUUCCAAUAAAAAAAUUGUAAUUCUUAAAGGAGAAAAUAAAUCCUUAACUCAUGGAAAUGUUGGCUAUUCAGAAAAAUGACUAAUGUCUUUGGGAGAAAGAGUAUGGUUAACACAGAUUUUAUUCUCACUUUUACUCCCAUUGUUUCAGCUAUUACCUUAAACAGAAGCUUCCUUGUUGUCAUUUGCUUGAUGGCCAAACAGGGAUUGGCACGUGGCUUACCAUUCCAAAUUGAUUACGUUGCUGCCAGUUGGGGAUUUAACAGAGGAAAGAAGAGAUGGAUUUCCAGACAGAGGAAAUAAGAAUACCUGGAAAAAUAUUGAGAAAAUGAAGUCUAUUUAAGGGCUUCAUUUAUAUAUGUUUGGUAGCUCAGGCUGUGAAUAGAGGCUGAGAAGAGAAGAUUCUUUGUACAUGAAGGUGACGGGGGUCUUCUUCCUGUGGGCAAGUGCAAGACUAAUGAUGCUUUCAGCGGAAGAUGAAAGAAGAACUCAGGCAAGCUGCAAACAUGCAAGCUGUCAGGGUGAUUCACAGAGUAAUUACAGAAUAAUACAGUGUAAACUAUUAGGGGGUAAUAACAAUAAGUCAGGAUAGACUCAUCGCAUUGAAAACUUGGGGCUGACAAACCUGCCAGUUAUUUGCUCCUUCUCGAAGUCUAUAAACAGUGUAAUAUGAGCUAAGCCUGGCAGCUGGAUUCAAAAGAGACAGAUCUAUUUUUCCUUUUUACAUUAAGUUGUGAUGUAGAAAUGGAAAAAUAGAAAUGUAAGCAGUUAGGCUAAUAUCAGCACUAAUGUCCAGAUACAGUGAUAAUUGUCAGGUGCCUAAAACCCCCAGAUAUGGGGUAGACUCAGUUCAUUGAAAGUCAAAAAUAAAGCAAAGGCAUAAGGAUGGACGUGCCUCAUUCUAAC